UCAGAUGCUCAGAUAAGAUUAGUUAAUCCUGAUAAGUCUGAGUCAGCUCGUUGCUCUGGAAGAGUUGAAAUCUAUCACAACAACAGAUGGGGAACAGUCUGUGAUCAUGAUUGGGACCUUAACGAUGCUGAGGUGGUCUGCAAACAGUUAGACUGUGGGAAAGCGCUGAGUGCUCCUCGAUCAUCUCACUUUGGUGAAGGAACAGGACAAAUCUGGCUGGAUGAUGUGUCCUGUUCAGGAAGUGAAAGUUCUCUAACUAAAUGUCAGCACAAAGGAUUUGGGACACACGACUGCACACACCAAAAGGACGCUGGUGUCAUCUGUUCAGGUGAUCAGAUAAGAUUAUUUAAUCCAGAUAAGUCUGAGUCAGCUCGUUGCUCUGGAAGAGUUGAAAUCAAUCACAGUAACAGCUGGGGAACAGUCUGUGAUGAUAGCUGGGACCUAAAUGAUGCUCAGGUGGUCUGCAGAGAGUUAAACUGUGGAACAGCUCUGAAUGCCACUAAGUCCGCUCAUUUUGGUGAAGGAAGAGGACAAAUCUGGCUUGAUGAUGUGUCCUGUUCAGGAAGUGAGAGAUCUCUGACUGAGUGUCAGCACGGAGGAUUUGGGACACAUGACUGUACACACAGUAAGGAUGCUGGUGUUGUCUGCUCAGGUGUGCCAGUCAGAUUAUCUGGAAGCACUUUGUGCUCUGGAAGAGUCGAAAUCUUUUACAACAACACUUGGGGAACAGUCUGUCAUGAUAACUGGGACAUGAAUGAUGCUGAGGUGGUUUGCAGAGAGCUGGGCUGUGGAACGGCACAGAGUGGUGCUGUAUCAACCCGCUUUGGUGAGGGAAGUGGAUCCAUCUGGCUUGAUGAUGUGGACUGUUCAGGAAGUGAGAGAUCUCUGACUGAGUGUCGACACAGAGGAUUUGGGACACAUGACUGUACACACAGUAAGGAUGCUGGUGUUGUCUGCUCAGUGAUCCUCCCAAAGCCCAGAAUCUCCAUGAUUCCUGCUGGUGAAGUUGAGUGGAGAAGCGACGUCAGCAUCACUUGUUCAAUAUCACCUCAAAGCCAACAGCUUCUACAAGGAGAAUUUACUCUGAAGCAGAUUUCAGGCUCAUUCAGUCAGAAAAAACUAUCAACUACCAACUCUGCUACAUUCAAGAUGCUCAAAGUAGAUUUUGACAAGGACGGAUUGUACCAGUGUGAAUAUUCAUACGACUCCAGCAUCUCCACAAGUGACUCUGCUAACCUCUCUGUUAUUGUAUCGCUGCAACAGCCCAGCAUCUCUGUGACAUCUCCAAAUGGAGGACUGGCUGAGGUUCCUGAAGGUAGAGAAAUCAUGAAGGGCUACAGCUUCAUCUUCACCUGCUCAAAUAAUGAAGACUAUUCAAGAGGAGUUUUCAGUCUCAUCUACAAUGACUCCAACAUGAAACACAUCAAACACAAUAAGACAUCUGACAGCAGCUCAGCCUCCUUUAGUUUCCCUGCAGCUGACUUUGAACACGAGGGCCGCUACAGCUGUGUGUAUGAGAUAACUGUGUCAGCAGGAACAUUCACUUCUCAGGGGGAGUGGAUUUAUGUCUCCGUUAUAUAUUCAAGAACUCCAAUCCUGAGAUAUGUUUUCCUGCCACUGAUUCUUCUUUUGGAGAACAUUGCCCUUCAUUUCUACUAUAAGGUCAUCAAAAAGCAGAAAUCAGACAAAAAGGAGAACGAUGAGACGGAUGUUUCCAGAGAUGAAGAAGUGGAGGCCGAGGAGGAAACAGUCCAAGAAAUAGAAUAGAAACACAUAGAGGACUUCAAACUUGUGUGUGUUUCUAUCUCUCUCUCACUCUCUCUCUCUCCAGUUCUCUCUCUCUCGUUUUUGUUUUUACAUCUUUCUCUGUUUCUACAAGUGAAGUUUUUACAGAUUCAGUAUUUUUCCCCUCAAUAACCUCUAUCUUUAGCUAGCUGACAGAAUAUGUGUCAGUUUGUGAUGUCUUUGUACUCUUGAAUGUUUGAAAUUAUUUGCCACUUUAAAAAAACAAGUUCCCUUAUUUAUAGCCUCCUAUCCUGUUGCACUACCAGCAGGAAUGUAUGACAGUGAUGAGAAGGAGAAGUAUGCAGCCGGAGCCAGGGGGGGUUAAAUGAAUGACAUCAUCCAACAGUUUUUAGCUUGUAUAUCUCAGUGUGGUUUGCAGUUUGCAGGGAAGACAUGACAGGAGUCAGAAACUACAGCUGAUGAACAGUGUCUGAAAGUCAUGUCAUUAAGAAAUAGCGAAUAUAAGGAAAA